UGGAUCACAUUACAUUCAAUAUUUCCCUCUCUUUUGCCCUUUUACAUUCAUUCUUCAACAAGCAUUCUCUCUCCAUUCUAAGCGCCGAGACAUACUGGUUCUUCUCCAUCACAUCUCCCUUGGAUUCCACCGGUAAUACAACCCCAUUUCUCCCUUUUCUCUUCUUCUUCUUUUUCUUCAUUUUCCACUGCUGAAUGUGUGUUCUUGUUCUUCAUCAUAGUUUUUCGGGUUCUUCACGAUAUAUGCGUUCCGAUAUUCGUGUUGUGAGAUGAUUUUCCCAUAUCAACUGUACUUUUACUCCAAACUCAUAAAUUUGAGAUUUUCAGUUCAUUUUGGUAAUUUUUGAUGAAAAAGUUAAGAUUUUGUAAGUACCGGUGUUUUUAUGGAGUUCGUUUAUGGAGUACCGGUGUUCUUGGAUUUUGCUUUUAUGAAGUUCAUUUUUAUGUCCUCUGUGCUAUGCUUUUCAGAUUUUGUUGUUAUAUUUUUUAGGAUAUUAAUGCAUAAUGUCAAAGUUAUUUUUUUUAAACGACUGAUGUUCUUUUCUAUACAGUUUUCUUUGAAGCUCCUCCACUCACCACAGGUAAGUCAACAACGUUUCUCCCUUCUCUCAUCUACAUCAUGUUUUGUUCUGUGCAUUCGAUUUUUGUCAAGUUUUGCUGGUUGAUGUUUCGAUUCUCUCCGUGACAUUUGUGUUGUUCAUGCUGGUUGUCAUUUUGAUUCUGGUUAUUGAGUUUAUUUUACCAAAUCUAUAAAGUUUUGGUGUUUCGAUUUUGGUUGAUGGUUGUUAAAGUUGUGAUUUUUGUAGUGAUCUUUUUAGUUAUUUUGAUAAAGUAUCUUAAAGUUGAGAUUUUUAUAUAUUUAUGAUGUUUUGGUUUUUAGACUGAUUUUAAUAUUUAUUGAUACAGUGAUGUUUAUAAAGAUUCUUAAAGAUGUGAUUUUUAUGUUUCUAUUCUGGUUAUUGUGAGUUUAUUUUCCCAAAUCUGUAAAGUUUUAGUGUUUUGAUUUUGGUUGAUGUUACUGAUUCUGAUGAAUGUAGUUAAAAUUGUGAUUUUUAUAGUGACCUUUUUAGUUAUUUUGAUAAAGUAUCUUAAAGUUGAUAUUUUUAUAAUUUUAUGAAGUUUUGAUUUUUAGACUAAUUUUAAAGAUCUGAUUUUUAUGAAGUAAUGAUUUUACUAAAUGAAGUGGUACUGAAGAUGGGUAUUCUGAAGUUGCAAAUGGAAGUCGAGCCUGCUCAAUUGAAUAUGUUUAACAGAACCAUCAAGUUUAUUUUUGUUAUAUCCUGUUGAGUACGAUGUAGUUCAUUUGUUAUGGUUGCAAAUGAUUGUUGAGUGUCCCCGUGCAUUCUAACAGCGAGACAUUAUAUAUGGUUGGUGGAUCUCUUUGCCUUUCUUCUCAAACCACAACUUUUACUGUUAACGUAUGCGGAGUAUGGUGGUAUAAACACGUGUUGAAUCCCUUCAUGGAAUUUUAUGAAACUUGGGAAAUGAAACACGCUGGAUUAGUUUCAGUAUAAUUUCCUCUGUCUUAGUUAGGUUAGCGUAUGCGGCGUAGGCGCUAUUCUGGUCCUUUUUCUCGCAUUUUCCUGGUCAUAAUUAAGUUAGUUUGAUUGGUUGGAGUUUAGUUAAUUCAGAUUCAUUUUUCUGGAAUUUUUGUUGGGGUUUCUAAGUUGGUUUUGGCACUGUGGAUCAAAAUGGUGCGGUUUCAGAAAGUUUUCUUUGCGCUAAAAGUUGGUAGCAGUGCAGAGGAAUUUGGGACAAAAGGCGGAUAUGAAAUGAAAACAAUGUGGUUAUUAUAGUGAAAAUCUUCAACAUUAACUUACUGAUGCCUAGGCUCUAGACAGUUUGUGAUUCACACAAGUUUAGAGACUGUGCCAAACAUAAAUGGCUAGCCGAUGCAACACUCUUAGCGCCAAUCAUCAAUUUCUGGUGGCAUGAUCUUCUUGCAAACUUAACUGUUGAAGUCUAUAGCCAAUGUAAAUUACGUAUCAAACGCUAUUCGGGUUGCUCACUUCACUCCAUGGCUGAUAUACAGGUGGAACACUAAAAAAUGGUUCCCAGUCUGCAGUGCGAUUUUUCAUAGUCGAGAUAUCUUUUCAAAAUAAGACAAAAGAUAUUGUAACUAAGUUGUUGGAUUAUAAAGAUAAUUAUGUGGUAAGUAUAAGCUUUUAUAUGAUCACAAAGUUGGAUUUUGAUUUCUACAUGAAAUACAUAGAGUGAUUUACCUGU